UACGGGGGGGGCAAGCGUUGUUCGGAAUUACUGGGCGUAAAGGGCGCGUAGGCGGUUCGAUAAGUCAGCUGUGAAAACCACGGGCUUAACUCGUGGCCUGCAGUUGAGACUGUCUGGCUUGAGUGUGGGAGAGGAGAGUGGAAUUCCUGGUGUAGCGGUGAAAUGCGUAGAUAUCAGGAGGAACACCGGUGGCGAAGGCGGCUCUCUGGACCACAACUGACGCUGAGGCGCGAAAGCUAGGGGAGCAAACAGG
rnacentral:rRNA from 1 species